AACCUGGUUGAUCCUGCCAGUAGUCAUAUGCUUGUCUCAAAGACUAAGCCAUGCAUGUCUAAGUAUAAGUAUUAUACAGCGAAACUGCGAAUGGCUCAUUAAAACAGCUAUAGUUUAUUUGAUAAUCUAACUACAUGGAUACCCGUAGUAAUUCUAGAGCUAAUACAUGCUGUACACCGAACUUCAUGGGGAGGUGGUAUUUAUUAGAUAACAACCAAUAUUCCGAAGGUCUAUCGUGGUGAAUCAUAAUAACUGAUCGAAUCGUAAAGCCUAUGGCGACGAUAAGUCAUUCAAGUUUCUGCCCCAUCAGCUUUAGAUGGUAGUGUAUUGGACUACCAUGGCAUUCACGGGUAACGGAGGAUUAGGGUUCGAUUCCGGAGAGGGAGCCUGAGAAACGGCUACCACAUCUAAGGAAGGCAGCAGGCGCGUAAAUUACCCAAUCCUGACUCAGGGAGGUAGUGACAAGAAAUAACGGACCGGGGCCUUACGGCUUCGGGAUUGCAAUGAGCCGAAUUUACACCCCUUAGCGAAGAUCGAUUGGAGGGCAAGUCUGGUGCCAGCAGCCGCGGUAAUUCCAGCUCCAAUAGC
rnacentral:rRNA from 1 species